UACGAAGGGGGCUAGCGUUGCUCGGAAUUACUGGGCGUAAAGCGCACGUAGGCGGGCUUGUUAAACGUCAGGGGUGAAAUCCUGGAGCUCAACGUCCAGAACUGCCUUUGAUAACUGGCGAGCUUGAGUUCGGGAGAGGUGAGUGGAACUGCGAGUGUAGAGGUGAAAUUCGUAGAUAUUCGCAAGAACACCAGUGGCGAAGGCGGCUCACUGGCCCGAGUACUGAACGCUGAGGUGGCGAAAGCGUGGGG
rnacentral:rRNA from 1 species